GACGAACGCUGGCGGCGUGCCUAAUACAUGCAAGUAGAACGCUGAAGAGAGGAGCUUGCUCUUCUUGGAUGAGUUGCGAACGGGUGAGUAACGCGUAGGUAACCUGCCUUGUAGCGGGGGAUAACUAUUGGAAACGAUAGCUAAUACCGCAUAACAAUGGAUGACACAUGGCUUUUAUUUGAAAGGGGCAAUUGCUCCACUACAAGAUGGACCUGCGUUGUAUUAGCUAGUAGGUGAGGUAAUGGCUCACCUAGGCGACGAUACAUAGCCGACCUGAGAGGGUGGUCGGCCACACUGGGAAUGGGACACGGCCCAGGCUCCUACGGGAGGCAGCAGUAGGGGAUCUUCGGCAAUAGGGGGAACCCUGACCGAGGAACGCCGCGGGAGUGAAGAAGGUUUUCGGAUCGUAAAGCUCUGUUGUAAGUCAAGAACGGGAGUGAGAGUGGAAAGUUCACACUGUGACGGUAGCUAACCAGAAAGGGACGGCUAACUACGUG
rnacentral:rRNA from 1 species